UCCAGACUCCUACGGGAGGCAGCAGUGGGGAAUAUUGCACAAUGGGGGGAACCCUGAUGCAGCGACGCCGCGUGGGCGAGGAAGUAUUUCGGUAUGUAAAGCCCUAUCGGCAGGGAAGAAGAAAUGACGGUACCUGAAUAAGAAGCACCGACUAAAUACGUGCCAGCAGCCGCGGUAAUACGUAUGGUGCAAGCGUUAUCCGGAUUUACUGGGCGUAAAGGGAGCGCAGGCGGCGCGCCAAGUCUGAUGUGAAACCCCGGGGCUCAACCCCGGGCAUGCAUUGGAAACUGUACGGCUAGAGUACGGGAGGGGCAGGCGGGAUUCCUAGUGUAGCGGUGAAAUGCGUAGAUAUUAGGAGGAACACCGGCGGCGAAGGCGGCCUGCUGGACCGAAACUGACGUUGAGGCUCGAAAGCGUGGGGAGCAAACAGGAUUAGAUACCCCGGUA
rnacentral:rRNA from 1 species